AGUUUAUACCGUAGCUUGCUACACCAUAGACUGUGAGUUGCGAACGGGUGAGUAACGCGUAGGUAACCUGCCUAUUAGAGGGGGAUAACUAUUGGAAACGAUAGCUAAUACCGCAUAACAGUAUGUAACACAUGUUAGAUGCUUGAAAGAUGCAAUUGCAUCGCUAGUAGAUGGACCUGCGUUGUAUUAGCUAGUAGGUAGGGUAAUGGCCUACCUAGGCGACGAUACAUAGCCGACCUGAGAGGGUGAUCGGCCACACUGGGACUGAGACACGGCCCAGACUCCUACGGGAGGCAGCAGUAGGGAAUCUUCGGCAAUGGGGGGAACCCUGACCGAGCAACGCCGCGUGAGUGAAGAAGGUUUUCGGAUCGUAAAGCUCUGUUGUUAAGGAAGAACGAGUGUGAGAAUGGAAAGUUCAUACUGUGACGGUACUUAACCAGAAAGGGACGGCUAACUACGUGCCAGCAGCCGCGGUAAUACGUAGGUCCCGAGCGUUGUCCGGAUUUAUUGGGCGUAAAGCGAGCGCAGGCGGUUAGAAAAGUCUGAAGUGAAAGGCAGUGGCUCAACCAUUGUAGGCUUUGGAAACUGUUUAACUUGAGUGCAGAAGGGGAGAGUGGAAUUCCAUGUGUAGCGGUGAAAUGCGUAGAUAUAUGGAGGAACACCGGUGGCGAAAGCGGCUCUCUGGUCUGUAACUGACGCUG
rnacentral:rRNA from 2 species